AGCGCACAGCGUAAGGUUUACGUCACUGAAAUCAUCUGGCUCUGGGAAGAUGCUGGCAGAGCCUACAGAAAUAAAAAAUGAAAAGGUUUUUUAUGAUGGAAUCGAAGAAUGCCUGGUUUUAAAUUCAUCGCAAUAUCGUUGACUCCGGCUACAACGCAAUCCCUCGACCUGAUGGUACAUAGAAGAUCACAGAUACCAUGCAAGGAGAUCUGGAGGAACUGUACCUUUACUUCAUCAAUAAAACAUUCAGUUUAAUGUUCAAACCAGUGUUUGAGAAUAAGUGUCCGUCCAAGUUGUUUAAGGUGAAGAACCACCUUCCUCAUUUUCACAGUCAAAUCAUAUAGUAUUUGUAAUAUUUCCCUCAAAAACUAUCACAGAUAGCCAACAUGUAUGGUAGUGCUCGCUCAGUCAACAAAAAUGACUCCAAGGCCAACCAUGGUGCAGGAAAGAAUAGCCAGAGCUCAGGACGCUCCCCGCGCCUGCCACGUUCCCCUCGCAUGGGUCACCGGCGCACCAAUAGUAUGGGUGGCAGUGGCGGGGGCCCAGGAGGUGGGGGAAAGACUCUCUCCAUGGAAAACAUACAGUCCCUCAACGCAGCUUAUGCCACCUCUGGACCCAUGUACAUGAGUGACAACGAGGUAGCUAUAGCCACCACCUCUGAUCUGCCCAAGAGCACGGUCACCCUGGCGCGCUCCAGUGGACGGGUGCCCUAUGGAGUCCGCGGAGCUGUCAUGGGCAGCACGCCAGAGAUGGCGGUGGCACUUCCUGGCGUGGCUGUGACCCCCUGCGACUCGGUGGGUUUCGCAGAGCUCCAUGCGGCCUCCACGGUGCCCCACUCCCUGCGGCAGGCGCGGGACAACACCAUCAUGGAGCUGCAGGUGCAGCUGAAGGAGGUGCUGCGGGAGAACGAGCUCCUGCGGCGGGAGGUGGACAUCAAGGAGAGCAAGCUCAGCUCCUCUAUGAACUCCAUCAAGACCUUCUGGAGCCCCGAGCUGAAAAAGGAGCGCGCCCUGCGCAAGGACGAGGUGGCCAAGAUCUCUGUGUGGAAGGAGCAGUACCGUGCUCUUCAAGAUGAAACUCAGCAUCUUCAAACAACUAUACAAGCCCUGCAAGCGGAGCUGCGCAUUCAGCGUGACUUGAACCAGCUCCUUCAGCCACCCAGCGAGCCCCUGGCCUCUGAGCCCACAGAGGAGCAUGAGCGGCAGGCCCGGGAGCUCUUCCUGCUGCGCCGCACCUUGGAGGAGAUGGAGCUGCGCAUCGAGACCCAGAAACAGACGCUGCUGGCCCGCGAUGACUCUAUCAAGAAGCUGCUGGAGAUGCUGCACACCAAGGGGCCCUCGACCAAGGCCUGCGAGGAGGACCACGAGCGUACCCAGAGACUGGCCGAGGCCGAGAUGCACAUGCACCACCUGGAGAACCUGCUGGAGCAGAGGGACAAGGAGAUGGCCGCACUCAGGGAGGAGCUGCUCCGUCGCUAUGAGGGAACCCCAGACUCAACAAAGACCAAGGCCCUGCAAACAGUUAUUGAAAUGAAGGACUCUCAGAUCUGCUCUCUGGAGCGCGGCCUGCGGGAGCUGGAGGACCAGGUGAUGAUGCUGCGCUCCAGCAGCGCGCUGACCUGUGAGGAGCGCCAGGAGGAGGUCAAGCAAAUGGAGGUCUAUCGCAACCACACCAAGUUCAUGAAGAGCAAGAUGGAUCAAGUGAAGCAGGACCUCUCCAGAAAAGACAGUCAACUCCUGGGAUUGCAAACCAAACUAGAAACAUUGACCAACCAGUUUUCGGACAGCAAGCAACACAUUGAGGUGCUAAAAGAGUCGCUAACAGCUAAAGAACAGCGAGCAGCCAUCCUGCAAACAGAGGUGGAUGCUCUGAGACUGCGUCUUGAGGAGAAGGAGAGCACGCUGAACAAGAAGAGCAAGCAGAUCCAGGAGAUGUCAGAGGAGAAGAGUACCCUCAACGGGGAGAUCCAUGACCUCAAAGACAUGCUAGAUGUUAAGGAACGCAAGGUUAAUGUGUUGCAGAAAAAGAUUGAGAACCUCCAGGAGCAGCUGAAAGACAAGGAGAAGCAGAUCAGCAGCCUGAGGGAGAGGCUGAAGUCCCUCCAGACGGACACCUCCAACACAGACACUGUCCUCAGCACCCUGGAGGACUCACUUGCUGAGAAGGACCGCAUCAUUGAGCGUCUGAAGGAACAGAGGGACCGCGAGGAGCGAGAGAAGUCAGAGGAGCUGGACACCAGCAAGAAGGAGCUGAAGGAGCUCAAGGAGAAAGUGUCUCUCCUACAGGGAGACCUGUCAGAGCGAGAGACGUCCUUGCUGGAUCUGAAAGAGCACGCGUCCUCAUUGGCCUCGUCCGGUCUGAAGAAGGACUCCAAGCUGAAGAGCCUCGAGAUUGCCCUGGAGCAGCGUAGAGAGGAGUGCAGCAAGCUGGAGAACCAGCUGAAGAGGGCCAAACAUGCAGCUGCUGAUGCACAAGCGAACUCAGAGCUAUCUGAGAAGAUCGCCGCUCUGGAGACAGAUGUGGCUAGACACAGAGAGGAUUCUGGGAAGGCCCAAGCGGAGGUUGACCGUUUGUUGGAGAUCUUGCGCCAGAUGGAAAAUGAGAAGAAUGACAAAGACAGAAUAAUCAAUGAGCUGGAGAGUGUGACAUCGAGGCAAAUAAGGGAGCAGAGCAAGAAGGCCAGCACCCAGAAACAUCCUGCGGAGAAGGGCAGAAACAGCAGCGACGGUCCCCAGCAGGACUCUCUGCGGCAGAAGGCUGAGCGCAUCGAGGAGCUGGAGGAGGCGCUGAGAGAGAGUGUCCAGAUCACGGCUGAGCGGGAGAUGGUGCUGGCCCAGGAGGAGGCUGCUCGGGCACACCAGGAGAAACAGAUGGAGGAACUGCUUGCAGCCAUGGAGAAGGUGAAACUGGAGCUGGAGUCCAUGAAAGCUAAGAUGUCGUCUACCCAGCAGUCUCUGGCAGAGAAGGAGGCUCACCUGACGACGCUGAGGGCUGAGCGCAGGAGGCACCUGGAGGAAGUGCUGGAGAUGAAACAGGAGGCACUGUUGGCAGCCAUUAGUGAGAAAGAUGCAAAUAUUGCUCUACUGGAGCUGUCCUCCUCAAAGAAGAAGAAGACACAGGAAGAAGUGGCCCAGCUGCGCAGAGAAAAGGACCGCCUUGUACAGCAGCUCAAGCAGCAGACAUCUGCUUUGGGCAGACUCAAAACCGCAUGAAAUUAAUGGCAGACAGCUAUGAAGAUGGACACUUGAAAACACAAGCCAACCAAACCAAUCACAAGCCAUCCCCUGAUCAGGAUGAUGAGGAAGGCAUUUGGGCAUAACAUCAUUUUUUGGAAGGGUUUGGAGUGAGAACGGCCGUAAGACCAUGUCCCACUUUGACGACUUUAUCAUCGUCUGCCUUCCAGACAAGAGCCUCAUCUCCUGUUACGCCUGGCCCUGCUGUCAUAUCCACUUCUCACCCACCUCGAGAAUCUAACUGUAUUUAUUUGCACAAAAUGGAGGAGAGUAGAAAGAUCAGUGUCAAAAAUCAGUGUUGCUCCACUGUAUUCAUAUAGACCAGUAAAGGGCAACACCCUCCUGACUGUUGCACCCUCUUUGGGAUUCAGUUAGGUGAACCAUUCAGAUAAAUAUGUGAAGUUCUGAAAUGUAUCAGGGACGACCUUUCAUUACCCUGAAGUAAAAUGUGCAGUGUAGUCAAAUCAGUAUUGAGGUUACCGAGUUUAUUUUGACUGGGACUCUGCUGCUCUGAUUGGUUGGGUCCAUCCUUAACCGCAGUGGCCCAGAGGCCUGAAGCAAGGUACACUUCUCUGUCAGUAGCCAAAGUAAACAAAUUCUUAGAUUCUACAAUAAUCAAAACAGCAAAUAACAACCGUACAGGUGUCAUGGUGUUGUUUUGCAUGUCCUACAAGUUUUUACACAUUCCCCAGACUCUGGAAAAAAUGGUUGUCUCACCUCGACUAUAAUAGAUCCCCUGCUACUUUCUCUCCUUUCAUGCAACUCAUCCUGUAGCUGUGGGCUUAAUUUUCAAUGACUAAACAUUGGUGCAUUUGUUCAAAUAUAGCAUACUUCUUUGAGUGACUUGUGCAAUGAUUUUUUAAAUAGUGUUUUUCCUGUACAGUAUGUGAUGUUGUGUGAAUAUGCCAUUGAUUUGACACAGGACGGGAAUGCAGCACUUACUAGGGCUACUUGUUACACAGACAGUGCAACAAAAGUAGCUGUUGCAUUUCUAACUGCAACAAAAUUACUGAAAGUAAUAUGAUAUAUUUUGACAACUGUGCCACUUCUUUAGAUUUUGAACAUAUAGCCCUAUGUGUAUGAGGAGGAAGAUGGAUGAAUUUUCCUUCAAGAACAGGGGCAAAGUAGCCUAGCGCUGCCAUCCAACACAUUCUCUCUACAUUCAUUUUGUGGCCUGGACGCCAUCUAUAAGGACAUCUAUGUAGACAAUUAUUACAUUGAAAUGCAGUACUACAUUGAAAGAAAUUAUAUCAACUCAAUCAUACUGAUCAUACCAAUCAUACUGAACCUAGUAAACAAAAAAGCCACGGUCAUCUUCUCCAGACGUAUUUUCCGCUCAGGUGUUAAACAAAUUUAUCAAGAGUAUCCAUAGCCUCUCAGUAAAAACCUGAUGUCAUUGUAGGAUCUAUGUGAAUCCUCUACAAGCACGUCCAUAGUUCUAAGGGUAGCUGGUUUUCAAAUGCCAGGUCUCCCUCGUUGUCGUCACCUGAAACACGUUCCAUGGCUCAGAGAUCACUCUAGUAAAAAAUCUACUAGUUGGGUUGAUUUUCAUCUGGGGGUUCCAGACUAUACUCAUAACAACUGGCUGGCAGCUUUAGUGUGGUAGUGCCCGCUAGAGGGCAAAGAACUCCAGCAUUGAAUAUCGGCUCUUAUCAGCCAUGUGUGGAGCUGACUUCAGCCCUGGAUAUCUGCCUCAUGAGAUCACAUUGCUGGAUUGAUGUGCUUUCAUGAAUGGAGAAUAUCAAAACCAAUCUGUCUCCUCAUGCUCUGUCUUGAAUCAAUCUGUCUAUCUCCCUCUCUCUCUUUCUCUCUCUCUAAGCCUUCUACCCUCUAGAUACUUUUUAUCUGUCAUGUUUUAAGAGAUUUUGGCCCAGUGCUGUAUCUUUGUGUGUUGUGAGAGAGUGUAAACUCUUGUAAAACAAUGUAAGAGAUGUGUGUGAGUGUUUUGACUUUGUAAAUAUGUACAUAAAUGUGUCUGACCUGUG